rnacentral:rRNA from 1 species
GACGGAAGGUGCAAGCGUUGCUCGGAAUCACUGGGCGUAAAGGGUGCGUAGGCGGCUUGGUGGGUCUGGUGUGAAAGCCCCGGGCUCAGCCCGGGAAGGGCGCUAGAAACUGCCGAGCUCGAGUGCCGGAGGGGAGAGUGGAAUUCCUGGUGUAGCGGUGAAAUGCGUAGAUAUCAGGAGGAAGACCGGUGGCGAAAGCGACUCUCUGGACGGCAACUGACGCUGAGGCACGAAAGCGUGGGGAGCAAACAGG